rnacentral:misc_RNA from 1 species
CCUUCUUCUUGUGCUGUGUGGGUCGGUGAGGAAGCAGAUCUCUCGUGCAUCGGGCUUGUGCUUCUUCAUUGCCGGCGCAGCAGCACAGUAGCUCCACACACGCACGCACUCGCAGAAACAUCUAUACAAAGAGACAUACCGAUAUCCUCGUCCCUUCGCCGAUCAACGCAGCUGCCGGAUGUCUGUCAGGAAUGGGAGCACCGAAAAGGCAGCAGAGGCUCGUGCGAACGUUUUCUCGGCCGGGGCGACAAGUGCAUUGAUGGACGCUACGACCGCUGCGUAUGUCCGACAUCAUCGUCUUGCCUCGAUAAUGCACUCCGUCACGCGAGUCCUCAGCGAUAUGGAAGAGGAUCUGCUGUGCCGCCCACGGCAUUGCAGGACAGGCGAAUAUGUGCCGCCAGAAGCAAUGACGGCAUCGGCGGACACCACGCUCCUUCUUCAGGUGCUGCUGUCCUCCUUCAUCAACCCAUCCUCGUCGGCCAGCUACGGCGGGGUAAGCAAGAUCAGCUCCAAGGCCGUCUCGCAUUCACUCCUUGCACAGGACGCUGCAGGGGACGAAAGCGCGGCUGCGGCUGCGCGGCCGCCGACUGCCUCCGACCUGAACGAUUGUCUCUGGCCCGUGGACGCGGCCUUUGCCACCAAGGAGGACGCUGUCAAGGCAGACGUAUGCCGCUGUAUAGCUUUACACUGCGAGCGCUCUCUCACCGGCAUCGGCCUUGUCGAAUCCUUGGGGAGCCGUCUCCGCUGGGCCCACGUGGCGUCAGACCGCGACGGCGGCAGCGAGCGCCUUGGUGUGGCCCUCGCCCUCGAUGUCUUUCGGUGUUGGAAGCAGGUGGUCGUACCACUGCUGCAGCGAAUCAGCGACCGCGCAUCUCGAGGUUUGGCCGCCGGCGCCGUCACCGUCGAUGCACUGUUCGACUGCCUGGUGAAGGGGCCCGCGGCGGCGGCGGCGGCGGCGCCGAGCUCGGACGUUUCCUCGCCCUCGGCAUCGGCACUCACGUGCGAGGAGGCGGCCUACUGGUGCUUCGCGCUGCUUCGCGGGUACUGUCAAGACUUCCCCGAGACGGUGUGGGCCUCCAUACUGCGCGCUGCACAGGAUGCAGCAGCGCAGCAGUGGAGCAGCAAUACAGUAGGCCUUCCACCACUACACGGUGAAGCACUUCUGGUGCGCAGCUUCAUUGCCCACCUGUCGUGCUCAGAAUCUGGCGUUGCCUGUGUCACGUCGGUCACCGCGCUGGAGCAGCCGAAAUACGACGACAUCGUCGUCUCUCACAUGUCUGCCGCGGUUGCAGCAGCGCGAGCUCGUGCCGAAUCGUGGGCCUGGGACGAGGUAGAGCUCCUUCAGCGGACAUCCGCAGAUGCGACGGUGUUGGACUCGUUGCUGCCGGCACUGCUGCGUGCCGAUGGGUACUGGGCUGUGCUGAUGCAGCCGUACACUGCCAUGUUUGCUCAGUACUACAUGUGAUACUAGUGUUUGGUGACUCCACCAAACCGGCACAGAUGUAUCGAGGUGUCGCAAAUGAAGCAAGCACGCGAAAGUCGAACGCGCAUCUG